rnacentral:rRNA from 1 species
GACGAACGCUGGCGGCGUGCUUAACACAUGCAAGUCGAGCGGUAAGGCCCUUUCGGGGGUACACGAGCGGCGAACGGGUGAGUAACACGUGGGUGACCUGCCCUCAGCUCUGGGAUAAGCCUGGGGAAACCGGGUCUAAUACUGGAUAUGACUCCAUGACGCAUGUUGUGGGGUGGAAAGCCUUGUGCGGCUGAGGAUGGGCCCGCGGCCUAUCAGCUUGUUGGUGGGGUGANGGCCUACCAAGGCGACGACGGGUAGCCGGCCUGAGAGGACGACCGGCCACACUGGGACUGAGACACGGCCCAGACUCCUACGGGAGGCAGCAGUGGGGAAUCUUGCGCAAUGGGCGAAAGCCUGACGCAGCGACGCCGCGUGAGGGAUGACGGCCUGGUG